GACGAACGCUGGCGGCGUGCUUAACACAUGCAAGUCGAACGGAAAUGCCCUGCUUUUGUGGGGUGCUCGAGUGGCGAACGGGUGAGUAACACGUGAGUAACCUGCCCUUGACUUUGGGAUAACUUCAGGAAACUGGGGCUAAUACCGGAUAGGAGCUCCUGCUGCUUGGUGGGGGUUGGAAAGUUUCGGCGGUUGGGUAUGGACUCGCGGCUUAUCAGCUUGUUGGUGGGGUAGUGGCUUACCAAGGCUUUGACGGGUAGCCGGCCUGAGAGGGUGACCGGCCACAUUGGGACUGAGAGACGGCCCAGACUACCACGGGAGGCAGCAGGGGGGAAGAUAGCACAAGGGGCGGAAGAAAGAUGGAGCAACGCCGCGUGCGGGAUGACGGCCUUCGGGUUGUAAACCGCUUUCGCCUGUGACGAAGCGUGAGGGACGGUAAUGGGUAAAGAAGCACCGGCUAACUACGG
rnacentral:rRNA from 1 species